UUUGACCUCAAAUCAGGUAGGACUACCCGCUGAACUUAAGCAUAUCAAUAAGCGGAGGAAAAGAAACCAACAGGGAUUGCCUUAGUAGCGGCGAGUGAAGCGGCAAAAGCUCAAAUUUGAAAUCUGGCUCUUUCAGAGUCCGAGUUGUAAUUUGAAGAAGGUAUCUUUGGGUCUGGCUCUUGUCUAUGUUUCUUGGAACAGAACGUCACAGAGGGUGAGAAUCCCGUGCGAUGAGAUGAUCCAGGCCUAUGUAAAGUUCCUUCGAAGAGUCGAGUUGUUUGGGAAUGCAGCUCUAAGUGGGUGGUAAAUUCCAUCUAAAGCUAAAUAUUGGCGAGAGACCGAUAGCGAACAAGUACAGUGAUGGAAAGAUGAAAAGAACUUUGAAAAGAGAGUGAAAAAGUACGUGAAAUUGUUGAAAGGGAAGGGCUUGAGAUCAGACUUGGUAUUUUGUAUGUUACUUCUUCGGGGGUGGCCUCUACAGUUUAUCGGGCCAGCAUCAGUUUGGGCGGUAGGAGAAUUGCGUUGGAAUGUGGCACGGCUUCGGUUGUGUGUUAUAGCCUUCGUCGAUACUGCCAGCCUAGACUGAGGACUGCGGUUUAUACCUAGGAUGUUGGCAUAAUGAUCUUAAGUCGCCCGUCUUGAA
rnacentral:rRNA from 1 species